UCGCCGCCUGUCGGUGUAACUGGCAUGUCGCGGCAUGUCCUGUCGGUGGUGAGCGGGUUCCCCGGUGCUCCUUUAGCUUUUUUAAUAGAAAGCUGAAGUGUUGUGCUGUGUGUGUUCCCGUUUGCCGAUCUCCUACUCCGGUGCUCUUAAACGAGUGUCGAGGUAGGCCGACACGUUCACUUUGAACAAAUUAGAGUGCUUAAAGCAGGCUGAAAUAUCUGCCUGAAUAGUGGUGCAUGGAAUGAUAAAACAGGACCUCGGUUCUAUUUUAUUGGUUUUAGGAAUAUGAGGUAAUGAUCAAUGUGGACUGGCGGGGGCAUUCGUAUUGCGACGUUAGAGGUGAAAUUCUUGGAUCGUCGCAAGACGCACUAGAGCGAAAGCAUUUGCCAAGUAUGUCUUAAUUGAUCAAGAACGAAAGUUAGAGGUUCGAAGGCGAUCAGAUACCGCCCUAGUUCUAACCAUAAACGAUGCCAGCCAGCGAUCCGCCGAUGUUCCUUUAAUGACUCGGCGGGGAGCUUCUACCCGGGAAACCAAAGCUUUUGGGUUCCGGGGGAAGUAUGGUUGCAAAGCUGAAACUUAAAGGAAUUGACGGAAGGGCACCACCAGGAGUGGAGCCUGCGGCUUAAUUUGACUCAACACGGGAAACCUCACCAGGCCAGGACAUUGGAAGGAUUGACAGAUUGAUAGCUCUUUCUUGAUUCAGUG
rnacentral:rRNA from 1 species